rnacentral:rRNA from 1 species
AGCACGGACCAAGGAGUCUAACAUGUGCGCGAGUCGUAGGGCUAUACGAAACCCGAAGGCGUAAUGAAAGUAAAGAUCUGUUUCGCGACAGAUUCGGGUAGGAUCUCGCCGUUAGCGAUAGCGGCGGGCGCACUACCGGCCCGUUUCAGCCGCGCCGUCGGCGAGGCGGAGCUAGAGCGCACACGUUGGGACCCGAAAGAUGGUGAACUAUGCCUGAGUAGGACGAAGCCAGAGGAAACUCUGGUGGAGGUCCGCAGCGAUUCUGACGUGCAAAUCGAUCGUCAAACUUGGGUAUAGGGGCGAAAGACUAAUCGAACCAUCUAGUAGCUGGUUCCUGUCGAAGUUUCCCUCAGGAUAGCUGGCGCUCGUUUACAGCAGUUUUAUCCGGUAAAGCGAAUGAUUAGAGGCCUUGGGGACGAAACGACCUCAACCUAUUCUCAAACUUUAAAUGGGUAAG